rnacentral:tRNA from 1 species
GGUAGUAGCUCAGUCGGUAGAGCAUCAGCCUUCCAAGCUGAGGGUCGCGGGUUCGAGUCUCGUCUGCC